CCUAUCCCAAGAGGCAUCUCAGGUAUGGCUGCAUCAUCACAUGUGCCUCAGCAGAUGGCAGAGAGGAGAGCAGUUAUGUCUAUGCUAAGAGUUAUGACCUGUGAACAUGUGCAGGUAGCUAAAAAUU
ensembl:snoRNA